rnacentral:misc_RNA from 1 species
GAUGAAGAACGCAGCAAAAUGCGAUAAGUAAUGUGAAUUGCAGAAUUCAGUGAAUCAUCGAAUCUUUGAACGCACAUUGCGCCCGCCAGUAUUCUGGCGGGCAUGUCUGUUCGAGCGUCAUUUCAACCCUCAAGCACAGCUUGGUGUUGGGACUCGCGUUAAUUCGCGUUCCCCAAAUUGAUUGGCGGUCACGUCGAGUUUCCAUAGCGUAGUAGUAAAACCCUCGUUACUGGUAAUCGUCGCGGCCACGCCGUUAAACCCCAACUUCUGAAUGUUGACCUCGGAUCAGGUAGGAAUACCCGCUGAACUUAAGCAUAUCAAUAAGCGGAGGA